rnacentral:rRNA from 1 species
UACGUAGGUGGCAAGCGUUGUCCGGAUUUACUGGGUGUAAAGGGCGUGUAGCCGGGCUGACAAGUCAGAUGUGAAAUCCCGUGGCUCAACCACGGAACUGCAUUUGAAACUGUCGGUCUUGAGUAUCGGAGAGGCAGGCGGAAUUCCUAGUGUAGCGGUGAAAUGCGUAGAUAUUAGGAGGAACACCAGUGGCGAAGGCGGCCUGCUGGACGACAACUGACGGUGAGGCGCAAAAGCGUGGGGAGCAAACAGG